rnacentral:rRNA from 1 species
UCCUACGGGAGGCAGCAGUGGGGAAUAUUGGACAAUGGGGGCAAGCCUGAUCCAGCCAUGCCGCGUGAGUGAUGAAGGCCCUAGGGUUGUAAAGCUCUUUUGUGCGGGAAGAUAAUGACGGUACCGCAAGAAUAAGCCCCGGCUAACUUCGUGCCAGCAGCCGCGGUA